UGCCUGGCGGCCGUAGCGCGGUGGUCCCACCUGACCCCAUGCCGAACUCAGAAGUGAAACGCCGUAGCGCCGAUGGUAGUGUGGGGUCUCCCCAUGCGAGAGUAGGGAACUGCCAGACAU
rnacentral:rRNA from 1 species